rnacentral:rRNA from 1 species
AUCCUACGGGAGGCAGCAGUAGGGAAUUUUCGUCAAUGGGGGAAACCCUGAACGAGCAAUGCCGCGUGAGUGAAGAAGGCCUUCGGGUCGUAAAGCUCUGUUGUAAGAGAAAAACGGUAAUGAUAGGAAAUGAUCAUUAAGUGAUGGUAUCUUACGAGGAAGCCACGGCUAACUACGUGCCAGCAGCCGCGGUAAUACGUAGGUGGCAAGCGUUAUCCGGAUUUAUUGGGUUUAAAGGGUGCGUAGGCGGUCCGUUAAGUCAGCGGUAAAAUUGCGGGGCUCAACCCCGUCGAGCCGUUGAAACU